AACGGCGGCAUGUGGUUUGACGCGUAACGUGUACAUAAAUGUAUAUCCUCUGUUUAGGUACAUACGUAUACAUACAGACGUUCGAAUUUCUAGAGGGGCUGCGGUAGUGAAGGAAAAACGAGAAGGAAAUUUUUUAUUUCGUGAAAAUAAAAAAAAAAAAAUGGAAUAAAAUAGAAUAAACGAAAAAACCGCGACAGUGCAGGGUAUAAUAUACAUAUAUAUAUACAAUAUACAUAUAUACAGCUGCGAAGACGAAAGCACGGGAGAAUCGCGAAAAAUUCCUCAACGUAUUAAAGCGUCGACGCAGCAGUGAGUAGAUAUGUAUAUGCGUAGGUACAUAUGUACGGUGGUCCUCCUCGAUCUUUUCUUCUCUCUCUCAGCCAUAUACCCGCGGGUGUGGGAGUUCUUCCUUGAGGCUGAUACCUACUUUGGAUUGCGAUCACGUAACCCGUGGUGUACGAGAAUGUGUAUAUAUAUAUAUAUAACUAUAUGCAUAUACACGUAGAGAUAUAUAUAUAUAUAUAUGUACACACGAUGCCAAAGACUUUUGCGAGGGCCGCCAAUCCGAUCGCGAGUUCUUUAUACUAUAUGUACCUAUGUAUAUGUACAGGAUGACGUGACGGCGACGUCGCUUUGCGACCUUAGAGAUAGGAAUAAUAUAGAAGCUUUGUUAGCUAGGAAAAUUUUCGACGAACGGUAUUUUUUUUUCGUUCUCAAAAUUUUUUCCAAAUACAUACGAGAUGAACAUUUUUUUCGAGUAGGUCCUCAUUCGUCGUAUUCGUCGACGAGCAAUUACAUGCAAGGUGUGAAUUUUUUGCUUUAUUCUCGCACACACAUAUCUCGUCGAUGACUGAAAUUAUUUUUUUUUUCGUUUCGUUUCGCUUCAUAUUUUUUUCCUGCAGCAAUUAGCACGAGUCGCUCAUUCGGUUUAAAAAGAUCGAUGACGGUACACGCGUGUGAUCCUUCUUUCUUCCGACCGCUGCAGCUCGAUCCGUGCGGAGGAUAUACAUAAUCCCACACCGCGAGAUGAUUCGCGAAUAAUCAGGUAAUUUUCCGCUUUGACUCGGACAUCGGCAGCGGCUUCGAAAAAAAAACAAACUUAUAUAUACCGCGGCGAGACUAAAGAAAUUUCCAACUGUUUUUUUUUCCCCUCGAAAUUCGCAAAGUUGAUAAAAUUUCGUGACGCGGCGUACACCGUUUUUUUUUUUUUUUUUGCACAGCGAUAUCCAUGCAACGUGGCAGAAGCCACGGUAUUCCGAAGUUCUAUACGUACAACAAUGCGUGAAAUUGUCCGUGUAUAAAUAAUCCGGUUUCGGUAGUAAAAAUUUCUGCGUCGCCGAGAACGAGGGCGCGCGUAACGCGAACGAAGAGCGUCGAGAGACGCGUAGGUACCCAGGGCGUCGGGAGGGCACCCGAGGGAGGUUACUAUAAUGAAAGAGAGGGGGCGGAAGGGGAUCGGGGGGCGGGGGGGAGGGCGUCGAGGACCUUUUGAUCGGCGAAAAGGAGCAGCAGCGCCUCGCCUAGAUUCGACCUCGGUAGAUCCCCUCCCCUCCCCCCGCCCCGCCGCCAACCCCCUCGGCCAACUUUCGCCCUCGAUCGGCCCAAAUAUUCAAGAUGGCGUCGCGUUACCGCGAUACGCGGGGGUGCGUAGGCCACGCCCUGGCCGGGUGCCCGCGCUCGAACCUUCGGUUAUUUGUGCCCAGGUCCCGCGAACGUGGGGGUGAAGCUUUCGGCUCGUCCCAUACCGUUUCGUUUCGUUCCGUUCCGUUCCGUCCCGUUCCGUUUCGAAGGAUUCGCGACCCCCGUCCGCAUUCGAUACACCCGUACGACUACGCAGGGAACCCGGCUCACCGCGAAACGUCUGCCGAGCAGCGAAUAACCGCAAGGAUGCGCCAAGGACAUCGCCGAAUCGCGCGCAUUCGUGUAAACCUCGGCUGCACCUUAUGACCGCGCUGCAGAUUCUCGAAAUAUACAGGUACACGUGUACCUGUACCUGUACAUGUAAUAUACCGAGAAACUGUAAUGACUCAAUUACACCGCUGCACAUUUUUUAUAUAAUUAGCUUGGAAGACGACGCGUGAAAUAAAUAAUAAAUGUACACCCCGUAUAUAAAAAAUAUAUCGAAGAAUAUCGUACAUGUAUAUGUAGCAUAGAUCUGUGUAUAUAUUUCUAUCAUUUAUAUACCUACGGAGAUGAGAACGUAUAAGAGGAGCGUCGCGGUGUCGCGUCGUCGUCGUCGUCGUUUCGCCGAUGUGUAUAUAUAUGUAUAUACCGUGUAUACCGUACAGGGCGUAGAAGUAGGGCGAACUGAAGGGCCGCGGCAAAAGUAGGACGAAUUAUAGGGCGCGUUCGCGGCCUACUAGCCUUAAUUGACUCGACUGUAAUAAAAUGGCGCCCGUUUAAGUCGCGUGCGGACAAAUAUUAUAUUAUAACAAACAGCUCGAUCACCCUUACGGCGCUGUAAGCUCCAACGAACAAAUAUACGUCCGAAUGUUCGCAACCAUUCCUCCGUAAUAAUUCAUACGCACGAAAUUCGAUCGGUAUACGAUUUGAAGAGAAUGGAAGAGGAAGAAAAAAAAAAUCGUGCGCGCUUAUACAACGCCCAGCUGUACCUAUAACACUAAUCCAUAUCCUAUACGUCUUAUCCUCGUCCAUAUUUGGAUAAAAACCAUAACCUCGGAUACGCGAGGAUCGCGUAUGCCGUUGCAGCGCACUCAUACAUACGCGGUAGGUAUAUACCUACCUACCUUUUCGACUGAUCGUCGAAUACGAACGGGAUGCGCGGCGCGCUUUUACGGACCGUUGCGUCGGACGGAUAUAAAAAUAAGAAAACGACUGUGCAUAAUUCUCGUCCGAACUAUACGGCAAUGCAGGAAAGGAACCGCAUCGGAAGAUACAUAGUAGUAUACACGAACGUACGUAUAUACAUAUGUAUGUAUAUGUGUUGUAAAAAUUGCCGAUGGAACGACCCGCGCGGACCGCGUCGGCUUUUGCUGCCGCUGCUGCAGAGGAGAAUGUUAACGCACGCAUACACCUAUAUACAUAUACAUAUAUAUAUAUAUACAGGGGGGAGGGAGGAGAAAAACGACGCCUCGGUCGCGUCACAAGGUUAACUGCUGCCGCUGUGCCGCGAUGCUGCCGGUGGACCAAAAUUACACACACGCGGCGCGAUCUCGGGAUCGACGCCGGACGAACGCGUGCGUGUAUAUAACAGAGCGCGAUACGCGAUAUCUGAAACUCGACGCUUUCCGUCGAGUUGCGCCCGUUAAAAUUCUGCAAAGGAAAAUACCUCCGCUGUAUACCUGUAUCCGUGGGUGCGAUACACGUCUCGAUUUUUUCUAACGGGUCGACGGAUUAAUUCGGCCCACUACUGUCGGUUAUCUUCAAUCGUCCGAAGACCGGUAUUGACGAUCUUUGCAUUUAUCGCUAUAGAUUCGAUUGUAUUUACCUGUCGAGAAAACAUAACUACCCGCGUGUGUUCGAAAAUGCGAGGGAGCUGCAGGAUUUAGCGGGGGCAGGCAGAGUGGGAGGGGAAAAGGGAUGGUAGGGAUGAGAGACUUUGGAGAAUUUCCUCGGCGUAUAUAUGUAUAGGGGGGGAGGGAGGGAAGAGAAGGAAGAGGAGAAAGAUGGAAUAUGCGAAAAGGAGAAUGGUAUGAAAAAAAGAGAGAGGGUUAAUUCGUCGUUGCAAGCGGCGACAGCGGAAUCAUAGGCUAUAUACAUAUAUAUAUACGAACACACCAUAUGCCUGCAACUAUAUAUACACCGCCACCGGUUUACCUUGAUCCUUUGAAUAUUAUAACCGCACCGCAGUCGUUUUGUUCUUACGUAAGCGAUCCGCGCGGAGAAACUGCAGAUACGGUGCGAGCGAACGACUAUUAUAAUAUAUACACAAGCGAGAGAGUCGAGUCUCCGUUAUUGGCGCGCGUAUCCGUGUGUAUCCAGAGGUAUGACGAUACGACGACGGAGCGAGUGCGAUCGACGCCACCGUACACCCGAAUUAUAAUCCUAGACGAUGAUCGGGUAUUACGAGGAGCGACUGCGAGUAUAGAAGGACGAGGGGGAGAAUUUCGAGCGUCGCCGCGGCCAGACUCUCUUCUAGGAAGAGGAGAGCCGGAGCCAGAAAGAGCCGGCCGGCAGGUUUGUCUCGAGCAGACGAAGACGAUUAGGUCGAGGAUGACUCGAGGAUGGAUUAACGGUACUUUUAGUUUGAAGACGUUGGAUGUUUUAUCUUUUCGUUUUUUCAACGAAUAACAUUUGAGAAUUUCGCUGUAACUACAGGUGGAACGAAACAAAGAGCUUUUCCUCGCUGCGGAGAACUCUCAACUCAACAACGCUGGAAGCAAAAGGCACAGGCAAAAGCACCGGCAGAGGCAUAAGCAAGCGCAUCGCCAUUAGACGGGUAAUUUCCGAGAGAUUACUUCAACAACCCUGCAUUAAAAUUGUGCUGCGCGAAAGAGUAUACAAGCUUCCAGAGAUAAGAAGACUGUGUGCUGAGUAUAAAAUUAUACAUAUGGGCAUGUGGAAUAUAUUCAUGAAGAGACCAGGUUUGACGAAAGGGUUGCGUGAUACGUUUAUCCGUCGCAUUUUUCUCCACGAGAGAAAGUCCGUCGAUGAUCCUCCGACACGACACAAUUGUUGCCUGCUUUUACCUCAGACUCCAAAAACAUUUUUGCGACUUACUUUCACCACUUGAAAUUGACACGACCGCAAAUU